CUGCCUGGAUGCCUCCGCUAGGCACGUUUGACCAAGUCUGGGUUCUACCCCUUCUGCAGGGAAGUUGCUAAGAACUGAUCCGCCAACCUGGCUCACACCCCUCCAAGGAGCCCCAGCUGGGUGCGUCCCUCCCCGCACUGCCUUGGUGGCCCGCACGCGACGUGGUUUUUUGUUUGUUUGUUUUGUUGUUGUUCGCAGGAGCCCGGCCGCCCCUACUGCUGUUUUCAUUGAUGCCUUGAGCAGAGCUGGCAUGUGCAACUGCUGAGAAGGGGGAGCGCGGAGCGGCGGGGGAAGCAAGUAAAAAUAGCCUGGCGCGCGGCGCUCUGCCUGCUCCGGACGCCUUUAACCCUCGCCGAGGUUGGGAGAGCGCAGCAGCCGGCGCUGCACACUGCGGAACCUGGCAGGGGUCUGCACCCAGACCCCAAGUGGCAGCGAGGGUACGGGGCAAAGGGGCCAGCCAAAACUUUUUUUUUUUAGAAAAAUGAGCCGGGCGUGGGGUGAGGUGGAAAUGCAGGGAGGAAGCGCCUUCUCGCUUCCAGGGCUCCAGCCACCUGGCAGAGACCGCUACGUGCCCGCUCGCUCCACAUUUCACAGAAGCGCGGCCUUGAAACCCUGGGCUAUUUUUAGAAACCCUUUCGGCGGGUGGGCGAUCAGAGCGCGGAGGGUGAGGGGACUGGUAAGGAUGGCUUUCUUCUGGGAGGCUAGCCGCCUCGCACUGCACAUCAUUCCGAAUGUCUGCUCUCAGGUGGGGGCUGGGGAAGAGGAAGUGGUGAGGGGACGGCAGGCAUGCAGGCUUUGCCCUAACUCAAGGAGACAGCACUCGCUACUGAAUGCCCCACUGCUUUCAAGUCCCGGAGCGUGUUUGUUUUGAAACCGACAAUUGCCAGAUGCAUGCUGCUUCUAGUCUCUCAGAGGAUGGGGAUUGAUAAAGCGUUGCUGCCUACGCGGUGGGGCAGGGGUUUUAGCAGCAGAGUUAAGACCUCAAGGGAAGAAGACCAGGAAGGGUCUCUCUACCUUUUUGCAUUCCGGCAAGACAGAGGGACAAUCCCCGCGCCACACCCCCGUCCCCGCCCCCCGCUGCAUAUGGGUAACCAUAUGUGAAAUGUGCGGCAGCCCCACCAGACACCCAGCUAUUAAUAGAGCCCGGGAGUUUGCUCUCUGUGUCUUUUUCCUGCCACUGAGUAAGGGAUGAUCUUCACACACAUGCCCCACUCCGCCCCCACCUCGGCGCACCGUUUCUCCAGGAAGGUAAGGGGCCUGCCCACGCUGAUCCCCUUCGUGACUACAGGUGCCCAGAGCCUACGGAAUAGUCCGGUUGUUGUAAUGACAGCGGGGUCAGGGCGAGGCGAGGGAUCACAGCCUCGAGUCUUGGGACACAACGCCCAGCAGGGCUCUCUGCGGCUCAGGGCCAGCUGGAGAGUAGAGAAAAAGGCCGCCGAAGGCGGGGGCCAAGAACGCAAUUUGCGGAGCUACAGCGACCUCCUCAAAAGCCCUUGCGGGACGGGCGGCUGCAGACCCGUUUCUCACUGCAGCCGGCGGCGCGCAGCCCCCACAGUCCGCGCAGGCUCGGCUGCGGCAGGGGCGGACGCUGUCCCUGGUGCUGAAGGUGGCCGCGGCCCGUGUGCCCUGCCGGGUUAAGCGCCCCAGAGGCGGCUCUGACAUCUGACGAUUGCAGACUUCUCUCUGGCCCAGAUCUGGGCCGGAGGGUCUGUAGGAGGUGCUCAAGCCCUCCCGCCGGCUCGGCCCCCGCGGCCGGGAGCUCUCCGCGCUGCUGCGGGGACGGAGAGCUCGGGGACCGACUCGAGCUUGAAGGGUAAAGCUGAGGCAGCGGCAGGAGAUGGUCAAGACACUGCAGGGAGCAGACCUGGCCCCAGGAUUACCCACCCCAGCUCUGCACAAAGCCGGGACCCGGGAGCCCUCACGGAGCCCAAAGGAGAGGGCAGGGGAGCGCGGCUGCCCAGGGUUUGGGACUUGGGGGCAGGAGAAGGGAGCAGCGGGCGGCAGGAGAGGGUGAUGGGGUGAGAGUGACUGUUUUGCAUUUUCAAGAGGGAGGGGACCUGAGACAUGAACUUCCCCCCCACCCCCCACCAACACACACACACACACACACGCGCGCGCACACACACACACACACACACACACACAGACACACACACACACGGAGGCCGGCAGAAGCAAGCGGGAUGAAGCUGGGGAAAGUUUGGCACUCGGUGCUGAGCGGCGGCGGCGGCGGCGCGGUGGUCCGGGUGGGCGGCGGGGUCUCCGAGAGCCCCUGCUCGCUCGCCUCCUUACCUCGGUGUUCUCGGCCGCGUUCUCCGCCAUUUUCCUCCUUAGGAGCAGGCAGCGGGAGGAGUGUUUCAUGCCCAUAAGAGCCAGCAAGGAUUUGGUGAUACAGAGAUAGUAGAGAAAGAGAGAGAGCUGGUGUAGCUUUAAAAGAGAGAGCGAGAGAAUGGGAGAAAAAAUUCCAACCCAGCCCCUCUGCUGGAGCGUCAGCCGGCACAGUCAGCCACAGUGGAGUCUGUUCUGCAGUCUCCACUUUGUUUUAUUUUCCUCCUUUCUCAUCUGCUCCGGAUUCCUUCACACAGUUUCAAGUUCUUCUCGUGCCCCCGACCCCCCUCCCCGCCCCUCUCCACCCGCGCUGCGGGCUAAGCGCGAGGGAAGCCGCCCUGAAGGCUCCGCGGCGGCGGCGGCGGUCGCGGAUCCUCUCCAGGCUGCUCGCAAAGUCCGGCCGGCCAGAGGCAGCCGCCAACUCCUCUCAACUUCUGCCGAUCCGCUGGGCGAAGCAACACGCUUCCUGCGCGUCUCUCCUAGGGGCUGAGCCGGGCAUCUUCUCAGGGACAAAAGAUUCUGAGAGACACCUAAUCCCCUACCAAAAGUGUCUCGGUGUUUGUGCAAUCAAAGGAAAUCAGAAAAGAAGGGAUUCUCACCGCUCUGUGGUCCAAUCCUCUCAUUUUACAAAUAAGGACCCCAAGAUUGGACAGAGGAGGACAUUUGUCCAUGGUCCAUCAGCAAGCCCAGGACCCAGCUCCCCAGCCUCCUGACUUUCAGUCCGACACUCUGCCCCCACCCGGCACUGCUUCUGCUUGUGCAUCCCUUCUGUGACUAACCAGGGAGGAGGGGAGCUGAAACAAGCUCCCACCGGAAUAGGCUGCUGCCUGUGCGUGAUUAUGUUGCUAUGAGAACCUCAGUGGGUGUGUUUCCUCCUUUCGCUGUUGAAAUCUUUUGCUUUGCUUGGCUUCUCCCCAAGCACAGACACGUCUCCCUUUGGAAUGGGGAGUGGAGAGGCUGAGAUGAAGAGCUAUAUUCUCAUGGCAAGAGUUUUCUAUCCCAACCCAUCCAACCCAGAGCCAGCCUGGGGCUGGGAGUGAGGAGCCUAUGCCACUAGGGUGGUUCCAUAAAGGCUGGAGUCCAGGAAGGAACUGUUUUGAAAGUGGAUACUCUAGCCCCCUGGCGAGCUGUCUUAGAACAAAGAGAGUUCCUGCUAUGUAAUCACCUAAGAUCAAAGUCACAAGCAAGCUAAUUAUCACUUUAAGAGACUAAGUUUGGGGUGAUUUGUUAUACACCAAGAGAUGACCUGAACAUUCACUUCUUAUGAUGGUGAAAAGUGCCUAGCACAGAGUAGGUACUUUGUAGAACCCUUUUCUCAGCAUCCCCACCAUUCAUGUGAAUUCAGUCUUUCUCCAUCUCUUCUGCAAAAAUACAUUAGCAUAGUCUUUUACCAGGUUCAUUAGUUUAGUCAUGCCACAAACAAUUUACUAGGCAUCUCUUAAAUGCCUAGCUCAUUAAUAGGCACUAGACUUAACAAGAGGCAACAAAACAUAUUGAAUUGACCAUUGAUGAGCUCUUAAUUUAGUCAUGUUGGAUGCUUUUAAGGGUACACAUCUUCUGUAGAACUCUUAAGGAGAUUUUCAUGGGAGGCAAGAAAACACGUGGGAUGAUAAGGGGUUCAGAGAGUUCACUAGGGUAUGAGUUAAAUGGGUAGUUUGAAACAAUAGACCCUACCAGGUAAAGAGGUUCUGAAGACGCAUUUUAUUUACGUAAUUUUUCUUAUACGAGAUCUUCAACGCAACAAAAAUAAAGUGCAUAGAACAAUGCCUAUCUCACGGCAAGUGCACAAAUAUUAUGUCAACAUUGGCUAGGCCCUGUCCUAGGCACAUGAGUUAAAUUUUAUAUAACACUUACUAAAUUUUAUAGAACACUGACUAUAUGCCAGAGACUAUUCUUGACCUACAUGUGUUCUCAUGUAGCUGGUUCAACAGCUCUUUGAGGUAGAUACUAUUAUCCCCAUAUAACAGAUGAGAAAACAAAAACACAAUAAAUUGCCCGAGUGGUAGAGGUAAGAUUCAAAUCUAGGAUACUUGAUUCCAUAGCAUAAACCCCAAGAAGUUGACCAGGUUCAGGGAGCAAGACAGUGGUUCUCAACCUUGGCUAUACAGUGGAAUCAUCUGGAGAGCUUUAAAAAUACCAGUGCUUUGGUUCUACCCCCAGAGAGUACGAUUUAUUGAGGUUUGGGCAUCAGGAUUCUUUAAGUCUCUAAUUCUAAGGGACAGUGAUGAUUGGAGGACAACUGGACAAGAAUAUCUGUUGACAAAAAGACCUACAGAGGAAGAAGAUCUCUAAGUUACAGAAGAUCCAAAACAAGAACCCCACACUGUAAAGAGGUCUAUAACUCAGAGGUUCUUCAGAGGCCUGGACUGGAGGAAAGCUGUGUUGGUGGUUGAGAUGAGACUCUUGGGGAGGGUUAUAAUUAGAAAGGUUAUCCAGCUUUGUGAGAUGCUGCAGAAGUGAGUUUCCUAUUACUGGAAAGGCUCAGAUUAAUUGUGGGCAUAGAUGAUGUAGAGGCCCCACAAACACCGGAACCAGAAGGUUGAGCAAGCCCUCUGAGUUUUUACCUGACUUGUGUUGGGACUCUGCUUUUCUGUCUCUUGCCAACUCUGAGCCCUUGCUGGAACCCCAGAAGGUGAAGAUUGUACCAUACUUCAUCUCUAGGGGCCAACGAACCCUUCCUUUUGCUGUUGCCCAAAAUUAAAGGCCCCUAGAAUCAGGAAGCAGCAUUCCUAACCUGCGGACCAUGCUGCCUGGAAAAUCUCAGGCUCUAGCUUGUUCCAAUGGUGGUUGCUGCUAAAAGGGGAGAUGUAUUAUGUGGUUUUCUCCUCCUCCUCCCAGGGGACCUCACACAUGGCCAGGGUUCACAUAUGGCCAUGGCACACUGCAGUGAAUCCAUGGCUCCUCAAGAAUCAGGCCACAGCCGUGAUCCAUCACCACCUCAUGGCAGCUAACCCAGCAGUGUUCUUAGUGUCUUCCACACCAGAUGGGAGCCACACCAAGGCUGCAGCAGCCAGCUACCUGGCUGAACCUCCAGGCAGCCCCAUAUCUGGGCCGUUCUCCUAUACAAAAGCCUCUGUGGUCCUAUUCCUCCCUAACCCAAGGCCCAAUAUUCCAAAGAACAACUUGCUGAGUGCCACCAGUACCUGCAAAGCAAUUUGAGGUGGGAUUUUUUUUUGUGCCAGAACCAGAAUGUUAUUUCUUCCUUGCUCUGAUAAUGUCUGAUUAAAUCAAUUCACUGUGGUUUUGUGCUGAAUAUGAUACUAUUUGCUUUAACAAUAUCUGGGAGGCAUUUUCUUAGUAUAAUACUUCUGCAUUUAUAGCUCAAUCCUUGCUGUUUUAUUCUAAAAAGUUGAACACUCUUCUUACCUACCUUUCUCUAAGGAUGAGAAAGACCCAAAAGAUUCUGUUGUGCUGCCACAACAGAAUUAGCUUUUUCUACUGAGUGGAGGUUGUACACUCCACCCCUUUCCUCCUUUUUAAAUGUUUCACGAAGGCUUACCUUUUUAUGGGAAAUCUCUCCAGAAUCCCUGAAAGCCACUGAAAGCCAUUCAAUCUAUCCAGUGCAAUAACUUAAUACAUAUUUUUUUUCUAUUAACCUUAUGUGACUGUGGGCCAAGCAUGUGCUAAGUAUUCUGUACUAAAAGGUGAAGAGACUUAUCUCUGCAUUGGUGACCCUUAUCUUCUGGGAAGAGUUGGUUAAAUGACUAACUGUGAUAUACUAAGCGUUAUAAUAGAUUUAGGUACUACAGGGGGUCUUAUGCAUUGGUUCUCAUAGGUUAAAUAUAGCUAUAAUCAAUGGCUCAUAGUCAGGUAGGUCCUGCAAGCAGUAUCUAUUGAUAUGGACAGGGAGACCCUGGAGGCUACAGGGCCUCAACCAGAAGCCUGGUAGAUUCCAAGUGUGGCUGGAGACACAUUCUUUUUAUCAAGAUACCAAAGUUCUUGUAUGUCUUGGAAACUUUCACAGAUGAGAAGUUUUAUAGCCUUGACUCUCCAAAUACUCUGUUUACCAAUAUCACUUGUGGCAUAACACAUUGUGAUCUGCCUUAGGAUAGGGCUGAUCUCUGGUGCGUCAGGGCAACCCGACCUGAAAAUGCACAAUGAGUGGAGGUGGUAAAACAAAGCUGUGAUUGAGUCCACCUUUUCCUUUCUGGACCAUGUAACCAUUCUGAUCCCUUUCUUCUCAGGGGAUUUUAUUUUAAUUUAAACUUUGUUAGAUUUUUCUUUCAUUUAAAACUUCACCCUCUUAAGGUAAUAUUAACAUUUUACUGUGUACUCUUCUCUAUUUUUUGCUCAUGCAAAUAUAUAUAAGACCUAAGUUAUAUAUAUAUAUAAAAGUGUGUGCUGUUGGUGUAUGCUGUAUAUAAAUGGAAUCAUGUUAUAUACAUUACUCAGAAACUUGCUUUCUUCAUUAAACACUGUAUAAUGGGCCUCUUUCCAGGUUACUACAUGUAGAUCCAAGUUAUUUUUAAAAGCGUAUAACAUCUCACUGUAUGGAUAAACCAUACUUUUCAAACAAUUCACCUAUUGAUGAAUUUUCAAAUUCUAAGCAAUAUUUUAAUAAAUGAUUUUAAAAUA